rnacentral:rRNA from 1 species
AUUGAACGCUGGCGGCAGGCCUAACACAUGCAAGUCGAGCGAGCGGCGGACGGGUGAGUAAUGUAUGGGGACUGCCCGAUAGAGGGGGAUAACUACUGUAAACGGUGGCUAAUACCGCAUACUAUCGGAUAACCCAUAUGGGAUUAGCUAGUAGGUGGGGUAAAGGCUCACCUAGGCGACGAUCUCUAGCUGGUCUGAGAGGCUGCUCAGCCAAACUGGGAGUGAGACACGGCCCAGACUCCUACGGAGGCAGCAGUGGGGAAUAUUGCACAAUGGGCGAAAGCCUGAUACAGCCAUGCCGCGUGUAUGAAGAAGGCCUUAGGAUUGUAAAGUACUUUCGGCGGGGAAGCGUUACCCACAGAGGAAGCACCGGCUAACUCCGUGCCAGCAGCCGCGGUAAUAC